UCUCGGCCACACCACCCUGAACGCGCCCGAUCUCGUCUGAUCUCAGAAGCUAAGCAGGGUUGGGCCUGGUUAGGACUUGGAUGGGAAACCUAGGAUAAUCUUUUGGUCUUUCUAUAA
rnacentral:rRNA from 1 species